AUGAUGAUGCACUUUAAACCAUGCCUAAUGUUUGCUUGAUUUUCUUUUGACUUUUGAGUAGCAACACUUGAAUGGAGAACGAUAUUUGUGGACGUUUGGUUUGAUACAUUGAAUCCAUAUGGGAUUUUGCAUCUCAAGAUAUUUGGUGCUACUUUGGAGCUUUGCUUAACUUGGUGGAGGAAGUUUUGGGUUGUGUUGAUAUCCAUCAAAGAUAUUUCGGCCUAAGGUGGAGUUGGGAUAUUUGAUCUGGUUUCGCUUCGACAGCAACAGAGAUAUUCAACUGGGUUCACCGUAGGUUUCAUCAGAAAGAUGAAGUUGGCCAAGAUGCUGCUAAGACUGAGGUUGCUGGAAAUGGGAGGGACAAACUCGCUCUGCUUAAAAAUGCAGCCUUGGAUAGUGUGUUUGACGGUUGGAAAGAAGGCAUACUAUCUAUUGGGACAUUAGGGCUUGAUCCUGCAUUAUUGAAAGAUUUCAAACCUGAAGAUGACAUGUAUUUGUGUGAAAUCAUUCCUAAUGAAUUAUUCGUUGAUGAUGAUGGAGGAGACCAGGAACGGGAAAUGAAUUUCCCAUUGGUGUUAAAAGCUUGUAAGCAUGGGUUUUUACAUGAUCAGAAAGAUGAUCAUCACCCACAAUAUUCAUGUGAUGCAACUUGUAAACCUAGUGAUCAUGAUGAAGAUGGUGUGGAGGAUUUGGCAGGUUUGGAUACUGAUCAAGUGAAAAAGGAGAGGAAAGCUGGAGACAGAAUUACUCUUGCUGAUUUGUUUUGGGCUGAUUCUGAAAAGAACUUGUUGAAGAAGAACAAGUUAGCUGAUAAUGAUGAAGAUCAUGUCAAAGUACUCCAUUAUGAUCAUGAUACUACUGAAUCCAAUACGAAACAUGCAUCAAAUGAUGACAGGGUUGCAUUAAUCUCUAAGAAGAACCCAGCUCACCCCAUCAAGAAAAUAAACCGAGUGAGCCUCUCUAUUUUUCUUUUUUUCUCAAUAAUAAUGCGCAUGUGUUACUCAAAUAUAUGCUUUGUUUUGUGAAUUAAGUUGGUGAGAAAGAUGUUGAAGAAGAAGAUCCAUCCAGACGUUGAGAAUCAAAAGGAGACUCUGUGUAGGAAGACAAUACGCAUACCUGGAUCGGUUAAGAGCGAAUAUUAGUAGGUACAAUGGAACAAAGAUUUUGCAAUGAUAUAUAUAUAUAUAU